GGAGAGGUGCCAGAGCGGUUGAAUGGACCGGUUUCGAAAACCGGCAGUGGGAGUAAUCCUACUCGGGAGUUCGAAUCUCCCCCUCUCCG
rnacentral:tRNA from 1 species